rnacentral:rRNA from 1 species
CCCUGUGGGAAGCAGGAGGGACCACCCUCCAAGGCUAAAUACUACCUAGUGACCGAUAGCGUAUAGUACCGUGAGGGAAAGGGGAAAAGAACCCCGGGAGGGGAGUGAAAUAGAACCUGAAACCCUGCACUUACAAGCUGUGGAAGCACAUUUCUUGUGUGACCGCGUACUUUUUGUAGAACGGGCCAACGAGUUACGUUAAGUAGCAAG